AAGCGUGCGCAGGCGGUUUUGUAAGUCAGAUGUGAAAUCCCCGAGCUCAACUUGGGAACUGCGUUUGAAACUACAAGACUAGAAUAUGUCAGAGGGGGGUAGAAUUCCACGUGUAGCAGUGAAAUGCGUAGAGAUGUGGAGGAAUACCAAUGGCGAAGGCAGCCCCCUGGGAUAAUAUUGACGCUCAUGCACGAAAGCGUGGGGAGCAAACAGGAUUAGAUACCCUGGUAGUCCACGCCCUAAACGAUGUCUACUAGUUGUUGGUGGAGUAAAAUCCAUGAGUAACGCAGCUAACGCGUGAAGUAGACCGCCUGGGGAGUACGGUCGCAAGAUUAAAACUCAAAUGAAUUGACGGGGGCCCGCACAAGCGGUGGAUUAUGUGGAUUAAUUCGAUGCAACGCGAAAAACCUUACCUGGCCUUGACAUGUAACGAACUUUCCAGAGAUGGAUUGGUGCUCGAAAGAGAGCGUUAACACAGGUGCUGCAUGGCUGUCGUCAGCUCGUGUCGUGAGAUGUUGGGUUAAGUCCCGCAACGAGCGCAACCCUUGCCAUUAAUUGCCAUCAUUUAGUUGGGCACUUUAAUGGGACUGCCGGUGACAAACCGGAGGAAGGUGGGGAUGACGUCAAGUCCUCAUGGCCCUUAUGGCCAGGGCUUCACACGUAAUACAAUGGUCGGUACAGAGGGUUGCCAAGCCGCGAGGUGGAGCCAAUCCCAGAAAGCCGAUCGUAGUCCGGAUUGUAGUCUGCAACUCGACUACAUGAAGUCGGAAUCGCUAGUAAUCGCGGAUCAGCAUGUCGCGAUGAAUACGUUCCCGGGCCUUGUACACACCGCCCGUCACACCAUGGGAGUGGGUUUUACCAGAAGUAGGUAGUCUAACCUUCGGGAGGACGCUUACCACGGUAGUAUUCAUGACUGGGGUGAAGUCGUAACAAGGUAA
rnacentral:rRNA from 1 species